GGGAACUCCUCCUCGGCUGAAAGCCUCUUCCGCUCAGGCUGAGGCUUAUCCUCUGGAUCUUUGGAGAAACUAAACAGAGAGACAGUCUCUUCUCCAUCUCUACCAGCACCUUGACCCCGUCAAUCACCAUCUGGAGCAGCUCCACCUCCGAGAAGCCCAGUCUGUCAGCAUUGGAGAUGUCAAAGAUGCCAUCCACGGCACCGGUGUCCACGCCGCCUGACAAGACAAGUGUCUUACUUAUUAAUUAGUUCAAGUGCUUUGUGGUGUGUUUCUACCACUUUCACCAAAUAUCGAGAAAAAAACACACACGUACCAGUUCCACGUUUCUGGAGCCUCAGCCGCCUAAGAAUUUCCUCAAAAUCAGGGUGUUGGCUCAAGUUUGGAAUUUUGACAUGUACACCGGCACGCAGACCAGUGCCCAGAUUGGACGGGCAGGUCAGAAUGUAGCCCAGGUGCUCAUUCCACAUGUACUCCUCCCCUUUUUCUUUGAACAAGGAUUCCAUCUUUA